UGCCCGACAAGGCAAGCCAUCCGAAAGGAUGGGGCGCAAAGCUUCUGGCCUACCCCUUUUUUUCGAGAAGGCAUGGCUGCAUAGCUGCCGAA
rnacentral:ncRNA from 1 species